rnacentral:ncRNA from 2 species
UUCUUAUCCAGAGAGGUGGAGGGUCUGGCCCGAUGAAGCCCGGCAACCGUUGCAUAUUGCAACAAGGUGCCAAUUCCUGCGAGACGUUUCGUCUCGAAAGAUAAGAA